UUAAGCGACUAAGCGUACACGGUGGAUGCCCUGGCAGUCAGAGGCGAUGAAGGACGUGCUAAUCUGCGAUAAGCGUCGGUAAGGUGAUAUGAACCGUUAUAACCGGCGAUUUCCGAAUGGGGAAACCCAGUGUGUUUCGACACACUAUCAUUAACUGAAUCCAUAGGUUAAUGAGGCGAACCGGGGGAACUGAAACAUCUAAGUACCCCGAGGAAAAGAAAUCAACCGAGAUUCCCCCAGUAGCGGCGAGCGAACGGGGAGGAGCCCAGAGCCUGAAUCAGUGUGUGUGUUAGUGGAAGCGUCUGGAAAGGCGCGCGAUACAGGGUGACAGCCCCGUACACAAAAAUGCACAUACUGUGAGCUCGAUGAGUAGGGCGGGACACGUGGUAUCCUGUCUGAAUAUGGGGGGACCAUCCUCCAAGGCUAAAUACUCCUGACUGACCGAUAGUGAACCAGUACCGUGAGGGAAAGGCGAAAAGAACCCCGGCGAGGGGAGUGAAAAAGAACCUGAAACCGUGUACGUACAAGCAGUGGGAGCCUCUUUUAUGGGGUGACUGCGUACCUUUUGUAUAAUGGGUCAGCGACUUAUAUUCUGUAGCAAGGUUAACCGAAUAGGGGAGCCGAAGGGAAACCGAGUCUUAACUGGGCGUUAAGUUGCAGGGUAUAGACCCGAAACCCGGUGAUCUAGCCAUGGGCAGGUUGAAGGUUGGGUAACACUAACUGGAGGACCGAACCGACUAAUGUUGAAAAAUUAGCGGAUGACUUGUGGCUGGGGGUGAAAGGCCAAUCAAACCGGGAGAUAGCUGGUUCUCCCCGAAAGCUAUUUAGGUAGCGCCUCGUGAAUUCAUCUCCGGGGGUAGAGCACUGUUUCGGCAAGGGGGUCAUCCCGACUUACCAACCCGAUGCAAACUGCGAAUACCGGAGAAUGUUAUCACGGGAGACACACGGCGGGUGCUAACGUCCGUCGUGAAGAGGGAAACAACCCAGACCGCCAGCUAAGGUCCCAAAGUCAUGGUUAAGUGGGAAACGAUGUGGGAAGGCCCAGACAGCCAGGAUGUUGGCUUAGAAGCAGCCAUCAUUUAAAGAAAGCGUAAUAGCUCACUGGUCGAGUCGGCCUGCGCGGAAGAUGUAACGGGGCUAAACCAUGCACCGAAGCUGCGGCAGCGACGCUUAUGCGUUGUUGGGUAGGGGAGCGUUCUGUAAGCCUGUGAAGGUGUACUGUGAGGUAUGCUGGAGGUAUCAGAAGUGCGAAUGCUGACAUAAGUAACGAUAAAGCGGGUGAAAAGCCCGCUCGCCGGAAGACCAAGGGUUCCUGUCCAACGUUAAUCGGGGCAGGGUGAGUCGACCCCUAAGGCGAGGCCGAAAGGCGUAGUCGAUGGGAAACAGGUUAAUAUUCCUGUACUUGGUGUUACUGCGAAGGGGGGACGGAGAAGGCUAUGUUGGCCGGGCGACGGUUGUCCCGGUUUAAGCGUGUAGGCUGGUUUUCCAGGCAAAUCCGGAAAAUCAAGGCUGAGGCGUGAUGACGAGGCACUACGGUGCUGAAGC
rnacentral:rRNA from 1 species